rnacentral:lncRNA from 1 species
UUCGAAUGCUACAACUCCUUGUGGAGUUUCGACGUUGGGGUGGACGCUGUUAGAUAUGUUCGUAUCACUUGUGAAAUUUGAUAUUACUGAGAACCUUCUUUAUCAGGCGUAUGUUCUUAAAAUUUUGCAUUCUUCACAUUAUUACAGGCAUCUUUUGUGAGAUCGUGGCUAAACGACGUUGUCGGAUUUCGUAUCCCUGAAUUAGCAUAUUCUGAAAUUCGACAAUGUGCACAACAACUAAAUGAUAGUGUUGACUGCGGGGCAUACAUGCUUAUGUUUGCAGAGGGACUUACCCGAGGCAGCACGAGACCAUUGCAGGAAGAAUUGAA